rnacentral:rRNA from 1 species
CUACGUGCCAGCAGCCGCGGUAAUACGUAGGGUGCGAGCGUUGUCCGGAAUUAUUGGGCGUAAAGGGCUUGUAGGCGGUUUGUCGCGUCUGCCGUGAAAUCCUCUGGCUUAACUGGGGGCGUGCGGUGGGUACGGGCAGACUUGAGUGCGGUAGGGGAGACUGGAACUCCUGGUGUAGCGGUGGAAUGCGCAGAUAUCAGGAAGAACACCGGUGGCGAAGGCGGGUCUCUGGGCCGUUACUGACGCUGAGGAGCGAAAGCGUGGGGAGCGAACAGGAUUAGAUACCCUGGUAGUCCACGCUGUAAACGUUGGGCACUAGGUGUGGGGGCCACCCGUGGUUUCUGCGCCGUAGCUAACGCUCUAAGUGCCCCGCCUGGGGAGUACGGCCGCAAGGCUAAAACUCAAAGGAAUUGACGGGGGCCCGCACAAGCGGUGGAUUAUGUUCUUUAAUUCGAUGAUAACCGAAGAACCUUACCAGGGCUUGACAUCCAG